rnacentral:rRNA from 1 species
CUCCCCCAGGCGGUGUGUUUAUCGCUUUCGCUGCGACACUGAAAAUAAAUUUCCAACGUCUAACACACAUCGUUUACGGCAUGGACUACGAGGGUAUCUAAUCCUCUUCGCUACCCAUGCUUUCGUUCCUCAGUGUCAGUAAUGAUCCAGAAAGCUGCCUUCGCAAUUGGUAUUCUUUCUAAUAUCUACGAAUUUCACCUCUACACUAGAAAUUCUGCUUUCCUCUAUCAUACUCUAGCUGAAAAGUUUUGAUGGCAGUUCCAGAGUUAAGCUCUGGGAUUUCACCACCAACUUUUUCAACCACCUACGAACUCUUUAAGCCCAGUAAUUCCGAACUACGCUAGGUCCCUUCGUAUUACCGCGGCUGCUGGCACGAAGUUAGCCGGACCUUCUUAUUCGGGUACAGUCAUUUUCUUCCCCGACGAAAGAGCUUUACAACCCAAAGGCCUUCUUCACUCACGCGGCAUCGCUGCAUCAGAGUUUCCUCCAUUGUGCAAGAUUCCCCACUGCUGCCUCCCGUAGGAGUUUGGGCCGUGUCUCAGUCCCAAUGUGGCUGAUCAUCCUCUCAAAUCAGCUAUUGAUCAUAGUCUUGGUAGGCCAUUACCCUACCAACAAACUAAUCAAGUGCGGGCUCAUCCAAUGGUGCAUAAAGCUUUCUCCGUAAAGACUUAUCCGGUAUUAGCACAAGUUUCCUCGUGUUAUUCCAGGCCAAAGGGUAGAUACCCACAUGUUACUCACCCGUCUGCCACUAAGUAUUGCUACUUCGUUCGACUUGCAUGUGUUAGGCGUGCCGCCAGCGUACGUUCUGAGCCAGGAUCAAACUCU